CAGUGGCGAACGGGUGAGUAACACGUGGGCAAUCUGCCCUGCACUCUGGGACAAGCCCUGGAAACGGGGUCUAAUACCGGAUAUGACCUUCCUCCGCAUGGGGGUUGGUGUAAAGCUCCGGCGGUGCAGGAUGAGCCCGCGGCCUAUCAGCUUGUUGGUGGGGUAAUGGCCUACCAAGGCGACGACGGGUAGCCGGCCUGAGAGGGCGACCGGCCACACUGGGACUGAGACACGGCCCAGACUCCUACGGGAGGCAGCAGUGGGGAAUAUUGCACAAUGGGCGAAAGCCUGAUGCAGCGACGCCGCGUGAGGGAUGACGGCCUUCGGGUUGUAAACCUCUUUCAGCAGGGAAGAAGCGCAAGUGACGGUACCUGCAGAAGAAGCACCGGCUAACUACGUGCCAGCAGCCGCGGUAAUACGUAGGGUGCGAGCGUUGUCCGGAAUUAUUGGGCGUAAAGAGCUCGUAGGCGGCCUGUCGCGUCGGAUGUGAAAGCCCGGGGCUUAACCCCGGGUCUGC
rnacentral:rRNA from 1 species